rnacentral:rRNA from 1 species
UUGGUCAUUUAGAGGAAGUAAAAGUCGUAACAAGGUUUCCGUAGGUGAACCUGCGGAAGGAUCAUUACCGAAGUACAGGCCCUCUCGAGGGCUACACUUCCACCCUUUGUUAACUAUACUUUGUUGCUUUGGCGAGACGCCCUCGGCCACCGGCUCCGGCUGGUGAGUGCUCGCCAGAGAAAACCCAAACCCAAACGUUUUAGUGUCGUCUGAGAACUAAGUUUAAUUAUUUAAAACUUUCAACAACGGAUCUCUUGGCUCUGGCAUCGAUGAAGAACGCAGCGAAAUGCGAUAAGUAAUGUGAAUUGCAGAAUUCAGUGAAUCAUCGAAUCUUUGAACGCACAUUGCGCCCCUUGGUAUUCCGGGGGGCAUGCCUGUUCGAGCGUCAUUAUCACCCCUCAAGCUCAGCUUGGUGUUGGGGCCGGCCCGUCACAGGGCCGCCCUUAAAAGCAGUGGCGGUGCCAUCUGGCUCUACGCGUAGUAAUACUUCUCGCGACAGAGUCCCGGUGGUGUCCUGCCAGAACCCCCCAUCUUUUUAAUGAUUGACCUCGGAUCAGGUAGGGAUACCCGCUGAACUUAAGCAUAUCAAUAAG